rnacentral:rRNA from 1 species
UAGAUCAGCCAGCCGUUGGUCGUGCUGGUUCCAAGCCUGUAGGUGAUGAGGCGGGGGUUAAAAGACCCGCUGAGCUGAGGGGUGACGGCGAGCCCGAAAGGGUGGAAGUGAUUGAGCCCAUGCUAUCAAGAAAAGCCUCUAGGGAGACUUAUUGUAACCGUACCGCAAACCGACACAGGUAGAUGGGUAGAGAAUACCAAGGGGAACGGGAGAAUCUUCGUUAAGGAAUUAGGCAAACUAGAUCCGUAACUUCGGGAAAAGGAUCGCCUGAGUAGAGUGAGAAUAAUUUACUUAUUCGAGCUUGAAAGGGCCGCAGAGAAAUGGCUCUAUCGACUGGUUACCACAACCACAGGUCUGUGCAAAGUCGCAAGACGCAGUAUACAGGCUGACGCCUGCCCAGUGCCGGAAGGUUAAGGGGAGAGGUGCAAGCUUUGAACCGAAGCCCCGGUGAACGGCGGCCGUAACUAUAACGGUCCUAAGGUAGCGAAAUUCCUUGUCGGGUAAGUUCCGACCCGCACGAAAGGCG